UCUCCCUUUUCCUUGCAAUUAUAUGAUUGUGGAUAUGCUGUUUCCAGCAGGCGCAGCUGAUGCGAAUGGACUCUCUGGGAGGAGUUCGAUCUGAUUGCUGCAAUUAGGAAUGUAUCCAUUGAAAAAAUUACAGACAACGAGUAAGACCAAUGCCAGGGUGCAAUGUAAGAAAUGGCAUUGACUGUACUUCGUAAUGUGGUACCUCUCUUUGUCAUCGUAGUUAUUGCUUGCCUGCGUUUGUGGAGCUUGGCUCGGGGAGACGAUCUCCAAUGAGUCCGGCACAAUCAGGUCGGCAUCUUUGGAAUCUG
rnacentral:lncRNA from 1 species